UACGUAGGGGGCAAGCGUUGUCCGGAAUUAUUGGGCGUAAAGAGCGUGUAGGCGGUUCGGUAAGUCUGUCGUGAAAUCCUGAGGCUCAACCUCGGGCGUGCGAUGGAUACUGCCGGGCUAGAGGAUGGUAGAGGCGAGUGGAAUUCCCGGUGUAGCGGUGAAAUGCGCAGAUAUCGGGAGGAACACCAGCGGCGAAGGCGGCGCUCUGGGCCGGAACUGACGCUGAGGAGCGAAAGCGUGGGUAGCAAACAGG
rnacentral:rRNA from 1 species